GUCUUUUUGUAUUUAAUAUAAAGUUUAACCUGCCCAUUGAAUAAUUUUAAAAGGCUGCGGUAUUUUGACCGUACAAAGGUAGCAUAAUCAUUAGUUUUUUAAUUGAAAACUUGUAUGAAUGGUUGAAUGAAAAAUUAACUUUUUUUUAAAAAAUAUAGAAUUUUACUUUUUAAUUAAAAGGUUAAAAUUUAUUUAAAAGACGAGAAGACCCUAUAGAGUUUUAUAAUUUAUUAUAUAUUUUUUAAAAAGUUUAUUUAAAGUUUUAUAUAUGAUUUUAUUUUGUUGGGGCGAUAAUAAAAUUUAAUUAACUUUUAUUUAUUUUUAACAUUAAUAUAUGAAUUAUUGAUCCAUUAUUAUUGAUUAAAAGAUUAAAUUACCUUAGGGAUAACAGCGUAAUUUUUUUUUAAGUUCAUAUUAAUAAAAAAUUUUGCGACCUCGAUGUUGGAUUAAGAUUUAAUUUUAGGUGCAGCAGUUUAAAAUUUAAGUCUGUUCGACUUUUAAAUUCUU
rnacentral:rRNA from 1 species